AUUGAACGCUGGCGGCAGGCCUAACACAUGCAAGUCGAGCGAGCGGCGGACGGGUGAGUAAUGUAUGGGGACUGCCCGAUAGGGGGGGAUAACUACUGGAAACGGUAGCUAAUACCGCAUACUAUCGGAUAACCCAUAUGGGAUUAGCUAGUAGGUGAGGUAAUGGCUCACCUAGGCGACGAUCCCUAGCUGGGCUGAGAGGAUGAUCAGCCCAACCGGGAAUAAGACAAGGCCCCAAAGCCUACGGGGGGAGUAGUUGGGAAGAUUGCACAAUGGGCGCAAGCCUGAUUCCGCCAUGCCCGGUGGAUGAAGGAGGCCCUAGGGUUUGAAAGGAAUUUGAGUCGGGAGGCGUUACCGACAGAAGAAGCACCGGCUAACUCCGUGCCAGCAGCCGCGGUAAUUC
rnacentral:rRNA from 1 species